UUGUCAUCUCUCAGUUGACAAUUUCAAGGUUCUACUGCCCGAGACCCUUUGCACUGCAACAGAUGAUGAACUGUUUUUGCAAGUAAACAGGCUGGUGGAGAUUUACAGUGAUGAUAUUACAACUGAUUUCCCAAUGCAAUGGUUACCAUUCCGUGCAAGCUUGAAAGACCGUAUCUCUCAAAUGAAAACAGUGCAACAGCUGACGAAGAUGCUGAUCGUCGAGAACAGCUGCAUCACUGCGAGUUUCGGGGAGGUUUGCACUGUUUUCAUGCUUUUUCUGACCAUCCCAGUGACAGUGGCCUCUGCAGAGCCUUCUUUUUCAAAACUGGAACUGAUCUCAGGAGCUCAAAGGGACAGAGUCGUCUCUCUGGACUUGCCAUACUGUCAAUUGAGAGUGCCCGUGCACGCCAUCUGGAUCUUGAGGAUUUAAUCCACAACUUUGCACAGAGGAAAGCCCAGAAAAUGCCGCUAUAAUAUUCGGGAAAGCUGCCAAACUACAACAGCCGCAACCCUGACAGAUCAGAUAAUUCAGGACUCACUCCCUUAACUCCUGCCAUCAAAAGUGCCUCGGUAUCACCUUUACCCAUCAACUCAUGUUACAAUGCGUUGCUUACCUGCGCUGAUCUGAUAUCUAACCCGGAGGAAAUCAAGAAGGCAUCGCCCGCGGAAUAUGUAAUUUCUCUGAAUAUGUGUUUCCCCCAGUCGGCUCAACCUGAUAGAACACAGCUUCAUUUUUUGGGGAAGAGUGCUGAGAAGGCAUAUAGCUUUACACGUGUGGAUUAAUGACGAGCACAUGCUGUGAGCGAAUGUCUGUUCUAAGUUUGUUGACUGCAGGCUUGUGUCUGACCUGCAGAUGAACUUGUGUGAUACUGUACAACAUGGCAAUACAAUAAAGCUAAUGUGUGGACAGCAAAACUACUUGUAGUAUAUUGUUAGGUAAGGUAGCCUGCAUUUUAUCUUCAAUGGAAUGGGAAAAUAUUUAAGUUCAGAAUGUGUCUGGAACUUGAACUAGUUUAUUUAAAGGUGUAAUCUUUACAUUAAAUAAAACCUUCUUUUUGAUGCUAAUUUUUAUUGUGCAUUUUUUCAGGAAUAGUCAUUCAUUGUAUUUGCAUUCUAUAAUUACCUCUCUAUAUAGUAGUUAGUAUUGUUAGUGGAGGAGUUAGCCACUCCAGCUGUAUGUAAGGAUUUUUCCACCAAUUUAGCCUUGCACUUCUAUAACGUUAUUGAGCUCACAAUGAACAGUUAUUUUUUUUGGUACUAAAAUCCUUGCAGCAGAACGGAAGUUUGUCUUUUUUUAUUGCAUGCAUCUUUCUGUUUAUGGUUUCAGUAUUUUGCCUUGUGUUUUGUGCUAUUUCUGUUGCUGCUUUGUAGUUUUCUGUAUGUUUCCUGUUUUUGUUGGUUAUUCUGAAUUGUGUAAGUUUUGGGUGAUUCCUGUGCUCUCCGUCCUCACUUGUGUUGUCUAGUAUUGUGUCAAGUUUCUGUGUUUAGUUGAUUUCAUGAUUUCUGUCUGUUCCUGUGUUUUCCUGCCUUUGUUGAUUGUCCUGCCCCACCCUGAUGUGUUUUACCUGUUGUCUCACCUGUUCCUGAUUUACUCGUCACCUCAUGUAUUUAGCCUCUGUGUUCCCUUUGUCUCUUGUCAGAUCGUUUUGAGUUUGCGUCCUUGUCCUGCCAGUCUGCGUCAGUUUGUAUAUGUCUGCAUCAG